AGCGAACGCUGGCGGCAGGCCUAACACAUGCAAGUCGAACGAACCCUUCGGGGUUAGUGGCGGACGGGUGAGUAACACGUGGGAACGGGCCUUUAGGUUCGGAAUAACUCAGGGAAACUUGUGCUAAUACCGAAUGUGCCCUUCGGGGGAAAGAUUUAUCGCCUUUAGAGCGGCCCGCGUCUGAUUAGCUAGUGGGUGAGGUAAUGGCUCACCAAGGCUACGAUCAGUAGCUGGUCUGAGAGGAUGACCAGCCACAUUGGGACUGAGACACGGCCCAAACUCCUACGGGAGGCAGCAGUGGGGAAUCUUGCGCAAUGGGCGAAAGCCUGACGCAGCCAUGCCGCGUGGAUGAUGAAGGUCUUAGGAUUGUAAAAUCCUUUCACCGGUGAAGAUAAUGACUGUAGCCGGAGAAGAAGCCCCGGCUAACUUCGUGCCAGCAGCCGCCGUAAAAC
rnacentral:rRNA from 1 species